CACCAUCAGGGAGGACCCACAGGAGCAAUCGCUCCCGCCAGCAGCGUUGGGCCUCAACUGGGACCUCCAACAGCAGCACGUAGCCUCAACUUUUCUUUCUAGUCCAUCAGUUCACUGCUGGAAGUGAAGGUGAGAACGGUCAGUACAGGGACCUUACGAUUUGCAGGUCUGUGAGAAAACCGUGUUCGGUCUUGACAUUUCUACUGGCAGGAAAGUAGUCUUGUGCUAAAUUCCUUGGUUUCUGUCUUACCAUGUAUUAAGUGAAAAGUCACUUAAAUGAUUAAGAAGGACUCUUCUUCCAGCCUUUCAACUCCAAGCUGAGAUGUUUCCCCACUGCUCACUCUUGAGUGAACCUCUCCUUAACGGGCUUGGAUACAGUUAGGGAGAUGUUCAGAGCAAGGUGUGUCUUAGGGAAGCUGUCUUUGGAAAGGUCGUGCACUGUUUUGCUAUCCUUGAACAAUCUCAUUUCAGUAAAGCCAAAAGAAAGAAGAAAGAAGAGAGCGGGACACUGCCUCAAGUGUCUGAAGAAAUCCAUUACUUUAUUGCUGCUGACUUAAAAGAUUUGUUUGGAGCUUCAAAGAACAAACCAGAAAAGACUGUGGAAAUACCCUGGGACAAAGAGGAUGCACAGGACUCUGCCCCAGAUGACCAUCUGGGACCUUUGCCCAAGAACGGCACAGCUCAGGAGUCAAGCGCGUUCAAGUUUGCCUUCUUUGGAGACACAGAGGAGUUGGGCAUCAAAGAAGGUAACAGCAGAACGCUUCUCACAGUGCCAUUUCUAAGGAAGAGCUUCUGGCAGGCACUGUAGAGCAUUGUGGUGUAAAGAAGGUCAGGACACAGGGGAUUUUCAGCAGCAGAAGUCAGUAAUUAGGCAGAAGCAAUUUGAUCUUCAUUUCUGCUUGCCAAAGCUGUGGUAGAUUAAUGAGCAGUAAGUCAUGCUUGCAUCUCAGGAAUUCUGAAAGGCGUGCUUUGAGAAGGAAAUGGGUUUUUUUGCUGAGUGGUGAAAAGGCUUGUUGUCAUGCCCUGAAUCUCUCAAACAGGGAGAACAGUGACACACCAGUCAUAUCAAGUUUCAGAGAACCCAACAAGAUUUUAAAGGAAAUGUGUGUUAAUGUAGAGGGAGGAGCAAAAGCCUGGAGUUGACCGCAAGAUCCAUGAACAUUCUGCUUGUUACUGAAUUCUAUUCUUGGACCUUUAGAAAAAGGAAACUGAAUGACACAUGAUCGUUGGAAUGUUCUAACUGUAGAUAAAAUGAGGCCUUAUGAAAAGAAGACGAAAGAACAUUAAAUCGAGUCACAGUCCUGUAAGAGAGAAAAGAAACCGUGUGAAGUUAUCAAAAAUAUUUUUAAAAAACCAAUGCAAAAAUGCAAAACGAGGACCCUCCACACUUGUGCUGAAUUCAGAAGGUAUUCAGUGUCUUCUGAAUGCAACGAUACAUUCAUUAGAAUACAGCAGAGAUCCCGAGAACAGAGUGCAAAAUCCUGGAGCAGAGAUGUAGCUCAGAAAAUCUGGCAGAAGCAGAUUCUGUCCUUCCUACAUCUGUCUUCUUCACUAGCCUCGCGGACUCGGAACAAUAAAGCCGGUAAAAGUCACAUGGCAAGAGGAUUCACGUUUCCAAGACGGCAGUUCUGAGAAUGAUGGUUUGUUUCUUUACCACGCACAGAAAGUGCUAGAGUUUUCUUCUUCUCCAAAGAUGAUGAAUGCCUAAGAGAUAAUUGCCUAACAGGAAUCUAGACUUUUAGACCUUACCAAAACAUUAGCCACGUGACAGGUUACCUAGACAUUUUGGAUCCUUUCAGAGGGCCCAAAGUUAUUUUGUAGAUCAGUAGAGUUCAGUGAAGAAAAAGGGUUGGGAAGACCGACGUAGAUUAUUGCUUGAGGCUUAGAGAUGACAUCCAAGAGGAGCUAUUCUGUCACCUUUCUGGGGAUGGGGUGAGGCUGAUAGGCCUGCAGUUUCCUGGCUCCUUCUUGGUGCCCUUUUGGAAGACUAAGAAGUUAAGUGAGACCACUCCUAUUUUGUCUGUACCACCAAUACAGCCUCAGAUAACUUUUAAAUCAAGUCCUUGUGCUCACACAAGCAGACACUGCAUGUUCAAGGCACAAGACCUGAAUGUCUUGAUGGGGAAGGGCUUUACAAUACUUUACAGAAGACAGCAUUUUUCACCUUUGUUUUAUUUGUGUGCGAAAAUGAAGAGCAAUAUUCUGUUGAGAGACUGAAUUAAUAUCAAAAUCAAGCUAAACCAAGCUUUCAAGUUAAGGAACACCAGGCCAGAACCUCCCUGAACAGGGUCAGUUCUCUCUAUACAUUCCCAAGCUUUAAUAGCCUUCACUUGUACAACUGUAGAUUUAUUUUCUACAGGGUUCCCUCCUUGUUCUGUAACGGCAAGCACAGGUGCAAACCUGCUGUUCCCCAACAUUUGAAUGCUCCAUUUUGAAAUCUGAAUUUUUAUUAAUAAAGUAAUAACUACACCUUAACAAGGUACCCAAAAAUACUAGAUUGAAAUCUAUAAAAUGCUGCUGACAGAGCCCUUUUCUGAGUGUAAGUGCAUAAGUAUCCUUAAGACUAGCAAGAGCAUUCCCCAUAUCUCUGGUGGGGAAGGACAAGAUUGAUCUGCGUUGUCAGGCAACCAAUUGCAAACUAAAUAUAACACUUCUAAACGCUUGUGUAUCUCAAAUUCAUUAAACACAGAAACUAGAUAAAAGGGGUUCUGCAAACUCCCCAUACUCUUCUUUCUCCCACAGAGAGAGAGGACCAGCACCUGGAGGAGACUGUGACGUUUCUGGACAGGGACUCACUGCUGACGGCUGCCAUGUGCGACAGCAAGCAGGAGGGCCCUGGUGCCAGGGAGCCAGGGGAUAUGGGAUGCUGUCAACACACCUCAGGGUACAGAAGAUAAGACUAACGAGUCCCAAGCUUGAGGCCUUUGCAAGACAGGUAAGAAUAAGGGGAAGCAGAGCUGGUGUGCUCAUGGCCAGUCAACUAACUUCUUAUUUUAACAGAAAGAACACAGCGGAGAGUUUUAAUAAUUUGGGAAAGGUCAGCAUCCAGUCCUACCUUCACAAACCUGAGAUGUCAGCACAAAGAACCUCUGAGAACUUUGCCUGUGACUAGAGUGGACGCUCCUUUUAGUGUGUUUGAGAUGUCAUGAGCAGCAAGUCAGAGCCAUAUGAAGUAGGAGUCACCCAACAGGAUGUAAUUUUUUUUUUUAAAUCGUUUUCUGGAAUUAAUAUGAGCAACCAACUGUAAAAUGGAUUUCAGUUAAGAUAUCUUUUAAGAUUAAGAUAUCUUAAUCAGUUAAGAUUAAGAUAUCUUUUAAAUUAGAAGCCACAACUGAGCAAAUAGAAGACUGUUUACAAACAUUGAUUAUUUAUUUACAGACACUCCUGCUAAUGGAGUCUUCUCCCUAAAAAAAAUGAGAGAAACUUAAAAGAAUAGCACAAUUUUCUGUAAUGAGCAUAUCAGACACUUUGAAGGUUAAAAUGUAUUCCAGGCUAGAAUAAAAGUAACACAUGAAGGGUCAUGGGUCAGCUAACUAGAAGACAUGUGCAUCAAUGCCACUAGUCCCAUCAUUAAGUACACACUGUAGCUAGGAAUUAAGGUAAUAGAAUUUUUAAAAAACUUCAGAUUGCUCCUCUUGAAUAUUUUUUUUAAACAAAUCCAUACAUUUAAAAAGUCAGUUUGUUAAGAAAAGUGAGUCUUCACAUCAGGAAAGUUAAAGAUUUAAAUACAAAAGGCCCCAGCAGGAAUAGCCCCAGUGGAUGGUUUUAAAAACAGCACAGAGAAAGAGAGGGGAGAAAAAAAGCCAUUAACAGCUUUAGGGUCUUCCAGUACAUUCUCCUCUUUAAAUGCUGAAAAAUAAGCACAAGGAAAGAAACAUGGAAAAGCUCACAAAGUCUGUGCUAGUCUCAGUCAAGAAUAAGAGAGAGAUUCAAUGGAAUUCUGGAUUUUUUAUGAAAAAUUUACAUCAGCCUUAGCAGGGUAUGGUUUUGUUUCUUUUUCAGAUUUAAUAGGUUUCUGACAGACAGCCUCAGGAAACCUUCUAUAAAAAAUCAGAACUUUGAUUACAUUACUGUCAUUAUUUUAGGUUUAAAACACAGAUGUGGGAGCUCACUCAUCCUUGCCACAAACGCAUACCUCAAUUUAAACUGCACUGUCGACAUUGCAAUAUUGCUUCUAAGAAGCAGCACACCAACAGGAUAACUUUCAAUCUCUAAGAUUUCUAUAUAUACACACAAUUUUAGACAGAAUUUAUUUUCAAUUUCUAAUCCACUUUAAUUCAAAGACAGUUUGGUGAUUUCAAUAGGAGCAAGAUCAGAUAAAACAGAUAAAAUAUAAUCAAGGUGUGUGAUUAUAUCACUUAGUGCUUCUUUUCAGCUGUAGAUUUAUGCUACAGUGAGAGAUGAAACAAUCCCCUUUAAAACACUCUAGAACCAAAGCUACAGCAUGACUGCCUGUUCUCAGCAGCUCAAAGAAGGGGACAUCCAGAAAUCAAAUUAAAACCAAAAGACUAAGACUUCCAGUUUGCAAUUUCCUCUGUAAAGAAGUCAGAGGAUGCCUUUAAGUGGAGUAUCUAACUAACUUCUGAGUGCUUAGACUGCAGAUUAAUCCUGUAUCUCAAAUCAAUUUACUUAAGGGCAUUAAAAUGCUUUGAAAGAAAAAUAUUUAUACUAACAGUCUUAUCAUUGCCCAGUGCCUUGUGCCAGUGAGCGUGAGGAAAUGAACAUUUUAUGUGUGUGGUGUAAACAACUAGUUAAGUGAGACCACUCCUGUUUUGUCUGUACCACUAAUACAGCCUCAGAUAACUUUUAAAUCAAGUCCUUGUGCUCACACAAGCAGACACCACAGGCCACUUUCUUCCUGCCCAGUGCCCAUUUCCACAGUGAACGUUCCAGCAGCACCCCUGCAUCCCAGCACAGAUAAAAUGAUGUGCAGAGCACCCCUGCAUCCCAGCACAGAUAAAAUGAUGUGCAGAGCUCAUACAGAGCUCACAGCACAGCUAAAACAAGCACAGAGCAGAAGUAAAACAAUGGGAUUGCAGAGAGCUUCCCAUACUCUGGCCUACCUCAGUGCAUUAAAUCUGCUUCCCACUGUUUAAACAGAACCAUUUGGGAUGGCAGGGGGAAAGCACAUUUUCAACAUCUAUAGUAACAGGGGCCUUAAAGCUGCCAAGAUUUCUUUGGUCAUCUCCACACUGGAAGACCUUUCCCAUGCAGCACAAGGCAAUGGCAAUUAGAGUUAGCACCAGGCCAACCUCACAGCACCACGGGAUUGGCAACAAUUUUUCACAACCUGCUCCAGCUCACAGAUGUUUGGCUUUGUGUCCUGUAAAUUUAAAUUUACUUCACCUUGCCAAACUCAACAGUAUCACAUUUUAGAUAAUUUACUGAUAUUUUUAAGCAGUAGAGGAGAAAAUCUGUGCAUUAUACACAUUGACUGCCACUGAAAUAAUACUUUAACCUGAAGAGAAAAAUCUACUUUUAGAAGCAACUGGUUUACACAAAGCAUCUAUUUUCCUUUGGCCUGUGAUCUUCUAACACAGGCACAGAUUUGUUUGACACACACACACAUAUUUACCUAGGUGAAUGCAUCUGGCAGUCAGUGCAGGUUGUCAUAACCCAAACAACAUCAGCACUUUGUGAUGGCAACAAACAGCAGAAAUCAAUCAAGGCAUUGAUAUGUUGAUACAAUUAUUCCUGUUAGUGGCCAGGUGAUUUAUUGGUAAGUGAGAUAUGUAAUCAAAACUGUUAUUAAUUGUAGUGCCAAAGAUUAGAGGAACUGCAUAUAAUGACUUGCUCAAGUUCUGCACGAGCAGCUUUCACUCACAUUUAUGCUUGUUUUCUGUUUUAGACUGUAAGGCUCAUUUAACUUUUUUCCUUCACAAAGCUUUUUUUGUAAUCAAGGGAUGUCUUCAGCUAAUAUUCCAUGGCAAUGGCAUUCUUUGUAAAUUCAUAUGUCAUCACUGUUGCUUGUCAUUUCUAAUGACAGAGAAAUACUUGGUUAUCAUUGAAGAAAAAUUACAGUAUCAUUACUUGUAUUAUUUUUUAAUUUGAUGAAGCUAUUCACUGAGCAAACCUCCCACUUUUCUCAGGCAUUAAUUUUAUCCAGGAACAAAGUUCUUGCCCUUUUUUUUUGCCAGUAUUCUAGCCAGUAAAGCUCAAAUGAUACUAUGAUCUGCUUAUGUCUGUUCUCCAUUUGCUCAAUACUCACUCAUUCCACUUUUCUCCUUCAAGAAGCAGAUAACUUUGUAUUUAGUACAAGUAAUUGUUACAGUAGUGUUCUAAUACAGCCAGGAAAGAACAAUAACUACCAAGAAUCACCUUGUUUCCUUGGCACACACUCAUCACAGAAGUUUUUGCUCUGAACUCUUACAGCUUGUACAGAAAAAAUACCUUUCAUGGUUAAGGUGUCUGAUAUUGAGACUACACUACAGAUGCCUCUACCAUUUUGUCCUUUAUUCUCAUGGGAAGUAUUCCUUCUAAAGUCAGUUUUAUUAAUAGUAAUUGUGUUUAUCAACUGAAGUGGUGGUUAACAUUGAAAAUCUUACAGAUGCACGCUUGAGGGGAAGGAAGGAGGAAGAGAGGGCGAGAGGAAGGGAGCUUUGAUUAGCACACACAUGCACAAGCCUCUUCUAGCACUCACCUGAACAAUCUUCCUUUCAUUUUAUCCCUACCCCACAUGGACUGCACUAUUUCAUUAGUAAUUUUUAUUUCAUAUACACAUUAAAUUCCACGAUUCUCCAAACUCCUUACUAAAGUACUGUCAGUAUUUAAUGCUUUUCUGUUUCAAACCUCUUCCCUUCUGUUUUAUUCACGUCUUCUGGAAUCCCUCUGUUGCUACACACUUGCUGGAAAUCAACAUCAUCCUCACUACAUUGAGCUACUUCUCCUCAAGCCAAUAAUGCUGGCAGCAUCACCCUGUAAAAUAAACCACAAGAAUUAACAAUGGCUAUUGACUUACUAUGUUUCUAAUUCACUCUUUCAAGGUUUUAUCUCAAUCAAUUAAAGCACUUCUUCCAAUA